UACGAAGGGGGCUAGCGUUGCUCGGAAUCACUGGGCGUAGAGCGCACGUAGGCGGAUUGUUAAGUCAGGGGUGAAAUCCUGGAGCUCAACUCCAGAACUGCCUUUGAUACUGAGAAGCUUGAGUCCGGGAGAGGUGAGUGGAAUUCCGAGUGUAGAGGUGAAAUUCGUAGAUAUUCGGAAGAACACCAGUGGCGAAGGCGGCUCACUGGCCCGUUACCGACGCUCAGGCGCGACAGCGUGGGGAGCAAACAGG
rnacentral:rRNA from 1 species